ensembl:lncRNA
UCUCCUACAUGUUAAAAAACUUUGGCUGUGAAUAGAAUUCAUUUGUGAUUGAUCCAUUCCUUUAAGAUGGAUACACUAUAUGCAAUCGAUUAUGUCAGACUGCACAUCCUGCACUUGAGUUGGGUAGAGAGAGAAACAGAGAGACUUAUGUUCAUCAUAAACAACACAUCGACAACAACAAGUAAUGCAUCGUUUUUCUCUGUCGUAUCGAUAUGGCCGUUUCAACAAGUCAGAAGAUCACCUUGAUCUCUUGCAUCGUCCUCUGUAUGUCUUUAUUCCUACCCAAAUUAUUUUUACCCAGAGUGAAGAAAGAAACAGCGCAGUCGAAGGGUCCCCUGUUAACCUCUACCAGCUCCCCGUGUGUGGCUUCAUAAUAUCAUGAUCACUGGGACACAGACUCUCAUUACAUCAAGCAUUACAACCCAGAGGCCAUUGCCAGAGCCAAAGGUGUUGGCAAGCCGAAUCUCCUGGGCCAGGUCAUCCCCGUCUAUGGCUUUGGGAUUUUCCUUUAUAUCAUCUACUUGUUCUUUAAACUACUUGUCAGCUGGUGCAGAUGCAGGCCAGAAUGAGUGAAAAAGCCAGAGAAAAGAGAAUAUCUAAAGUUGUCCACCCAUCUGCCAGGUCACGCAGGGGCACACGGAGGCGUGAAGAGAGAAAGCUCAAACAGUUGAAGGAGAUAACCCAAAUGAUGCGGGAGAGACAGUUACGAGAGGAAGCUUCGCCAGAGGAGGAAGCCGAGGAGGCCCCCUACACUGUAGACUGGGAAGGUUAUCCAGACGAGACCUACCCAGAGUAUGACAUUACCUCCCGUAGACGCAGAUUUCCUAGUGUUAUACUUGAAGAACCAGACCAAGUCAUACCCACAGCAGAGGAGCUUGCUGAGAGAAUGGAGAAGGAAGAAGAGGAGGAGGAAGAUGAGCCUGAUGAUGCGUGUACUAAUGAGGAAGUAAGUGGAGAAUAAUGAAGGAGAAAAAGAAGAUGACGACAAAGAAGAAGAAGAAGAGGAAUAUGAAGAGGAGGAGGAGGAGGAAGAUGAAGAUGAGGAGGAGGAUGAGGACGAGAUUAGAGAAGACCAGCCCUGUCUUCCUAAAAGUAUUGAUGUGGAUGAUGAGAAACUUGAGUACACAGGUGAAAACAAAGAGGAAAAGAAACCAAGCAGGAGAAGACGACAAAUCACCUUUAGCGAUCACAGACACGUCUUUCAUUAUCCAAAGGGUGGAGCUGUUGGCUGCAAGUAUGAGGAAGAGGAGGAAGAAGAACAUGAUGGAGAAGAAGAGGAGGAGGAGGAGGAUGGUGAAGGGAAUGAAGAGGAAGAAAAUGGGGAUGAUGAAGACUGUGAAGAAGAAGAGGAAGAUCAGCAUAAUGAAGACGGGCAGAGUGAGACGGAAAAGGAGGAGGAGGAUCCGCUGAUGGAGGCUGAGAGCCUGGGAUUUAAUGAUGAAGUGGAAUGUGAAUCUGAGGAACAGGAAGUAGGCCUCAUUGACUUCCUACAAACAUACCAACCUGAGGUAACCCUCAUCUCCAACAAGUCAGAGUCUACCAAAGCUCAAGCCUCUGGGACUCUUCGAAUGCGUCACAAGAAACAGAAGGUG